rnacentral:lncRNA from 1 species
CCUCGCUAAACGAUGCACACCUGUAACUCACGUGACCCAUGGUUAUUAUUGAAACGAGAACGAGGGCGUCGUGCCUUUAUAAGACUGCGUUAAUGGUUCCGUGGAGUUAUCCCUUCCGUUGUUGUUCUUUGAUUGUUAAACAUGGCUUCAUUUGCAAAGGUGGUUGUGUGUGUCCUCAUUGCUUGUGUCUGUAAUGCAUUCGGUUUUCCGAAGAAAGAUGUGAACUUUAAGGCCUCUGCAGUUGACCGCCAAAGUGAUGAUGUGGUUGUCACCACAACACCCAAUCCCCACAACCAGACCACCUCUGCCCCUACUGAAGCUGGUGGUGGAGCAAGUGAAGAUGCUGUGGCUACUACCCCAGCACCUAAUCCACACAACCAGACAACUUCUGCACAAACUGAAGUUACUGAUGGGGCCAGUGAAGAUGCUGUGGACCGCCAAAGUGAUGAUGUGGUUGUCGCCACAACACCCGUUCCCCACAACCAGACCACCUCUGCCCCUACUGAAGCUGAUGGAGCAAGUGAAGAUGCUGUGGCUACCACCCCAACACCAAAUCCCCCAACUACAUCUGACCACACUGCAGCUACCGAUGAUGCAAGUGAGGGUGCUGUGGCUGCCCAAACUGGAACUACUGUAUCCCAUACGACUGAAGUCUGAUUCGACUGCUCCUCUGGUCACAAUGACCUGUCUGGACUUUUUGCCUCUACAUGUUCACUGCAAUAAAGGACAGAUUUGUAUUUUUUUUUUAAUCAAAUGUUGUCUUGCCUUUUUCAAAUUGAGGCCUUGUCCUGUUUUGGUAGUGGAGAUAACUGACGCCUCUUUCCUAACGCACUACAUUUCUGGCAACUUAUAAUGCAUAGUGAACAUGUAAUAAUUCGGUGGUAUGAUCCCAGGAGAACAUUUUUAAGAAACAAAUCACAGAAUUGUGGUUCCUCGCCGUUUUUUUUUUAAUAUAAAUCGAGGCUUUCCUCAUAAUACCGCAAGAACAA